UACGAAGGGGGCUAGCGUUGUUCGGAAUCACUGGGCGUAAAGCGCACGUAGGCGGAUCUUUAAGUCAGAGGUGAAAUCCCAAGGCUCAACCUUGGAACUGCCUUUGAUACUGGGGAUCUUGAGUCCGGGAGAGGUGAGUGGAACUGCGAGUGUAGAGGUGAAAUUCGUAGAUAUUCGCAAGAACACCAGUGGCGAAGGCGGCUCACUGGUCCGAUACUGACGCUGAGGCACGAAAGCGUGGGGAGCAAACAGG
rnacentral:rRNA from 1 species